rnacentral:rRNA from 1 species
AGCGAACGCUGGCGGCAGGCCUAACACAUGCAAGUCGAACGAACUCUUCGGAGUUAGUGGCGGACGGGUGAGUAACACGUGGGAACGUGCCUUUUGGUUCGGAAUAACUCAGGGAAACUUGUGCUAAUACCGAAUGUGCCCUUCGGGGGAAAGAUUUAUCGCCAUUAGAGGGGCCCGCGUCUGAUUAGCUAGUUGGUGAGGUAACGGCUCACCAAGGCGACGAUCAGUAGCUGGUCUGAGAGGAUGACCAGCCACACUGGGACUGAGACACGGCCCAGACUCCUACGGGAGGCAGCAGUGGGGAAUCUUGCGCAAUGGGCGAAAGCCUGACGCAGCCAUGCCGCGUGAAUGAUGAAGGUCUUAGGAUUGUAAAAUUCUUUCACCGGGGACGAUAAUGACGGUACCCGGAGAAGAAGCCCCGGCUAACUUCGUG